rnacentral:misc_RNA from 1 species
AGCAGCCGCGGUAAUUCCAGCUCCAAUAGCGUAUAUUAAAGUUGUUGCAGUUAAAAGCUCGUAGUUGAAUUUUGGGUCUGGCCGGGCGGUCCGCCCUCUGGGUGAGCACUGUUCCGACGCCGGGCCUAUCCUUCUGGUGAGUCGGCAUGUCCUUUAUUGGGUGUGCCGGGGAACCAGGACCAUUACCUUGAAAAAUUAGAGUGUUCAAAGCAGGCGUAUGCUCGGAUACAUUAGCAUGGAAUAAUGAAAUAGGACGCGUGGUGCUAUUUUGUUGGUUUCUAGAACCGCCGUAAUGAUUAAUAGGGAUAGUUGGGGGCAUUAGUAUUCAAUUGUCAGAGGUGAAAUUCUUGGAUUUAUUGAAGACUAACUUCUGCGAAAGCAUUUGCCAAGGAUGUUUUCAUUAAUCAAGAACGAAAGUUAGGGGA